rnacentral:rRNA from 1 species
UACGGAGGGUGCAAGCGUUAAUCGGAAUUACUGGGCGUAAAGCGCACGUAGGCGGCUUAUUAAGUCGGUUGUGAAAUCCCCGGGCUCAACCUGGGAACUGCAUCCGAAACUGGCAGGCUAGAGUCUUGUAGAGGGGGGUAGAAUUCCAGGUGUAGCGGUGAAAUGCGUAGAGAUCUGGAGGAAUACCGGUGGCGAAGGCGGCCCCCUGGACAAAGACUGACGCUCAGGUGCGAAAGCGUGGGGAGCAAACAGGAUUAGAUACCCUGGUAGUCCACGCCGUAAACGAUGUCGACUUGGAGGUUGUGCCCUUGAGGCGUGGCUUCCGGAGCUAACGCGUUAAGUCGACCGCCUGGGGAGUACGGCCGCAAGGUUAAA